AUGUACUCUUCGCUCCACGCCGCCGACUCCGACUCCGACGAUUCCCUCCUCUCCGACGUAUCCGCCUCCCCGACUCGCCGGUGCUCACCAGCACCUCGCCCGGCACCGCCCAAGCACCGUCCCACGCCAGAUCCCACAUCCAAACCCAAACGCAAGCCCAAACCCAAGCCCAAGCCCGUACCCAGCUCUACCUCCGCCCCCGCCUCCGCCUCCGCCUCCGCCUCCGCGCCUCCGAUCCGCGCCGCCGCCCUCUCCGACCCGCACGGCCUCGCGGCGCGCAUCGCCCCGGGGUCAGCGCUCACCGCCAGCGCCAGCACAGUCUCCUUCUCCUCCUUCCGCCGCCUCGUCCAGUCUCGCAACCUCUCAUUCGAACCAGCCGCCGCAUUCUCGAACCCCGCCCCCGCGCCCGAGCUCGAGCCUGAGCCUGAGUCCGAGCCCGCGGAGAUACCAAGCGCCGAGCCGUCCCCGCCCCCGGCAGCCACCCACCCGCCGCCGCAGCUCAGGCCCAAGCGGGUGCACCCCAACUCGGUGUCGGAGGCCCCUGCCGCCGCGGCCGAACAGCCGAAGCGGCCGAGAGGGGACCCCGGCAACUUCGUUCGGCUCAACAUCAAUGGGUACGGCCGGAAGAAGUCGUUCAAGUCGCAGGCCAGGCGCCCGACGAAAUACCGCUCCUGGAAGCGGCAGCAGCCCGGCGGUGGAAAGCCCCGGGCAGGUGCCGAUGAGGAAGGGGAUUUCGUAGCGGAGGCGCUCCUCGAGCGGGAGAAGAAUUCGGCGGCAGGUGAUGACGGUGUUCUCAAGGUUGUUGAGGUAGCCAGAGAGGACCCGUCCGAGCAGAAUCUCGAGGGUUUGCUCAGGAAGGUGUUUGGUUAUGAUUCGUUCCGCGAGGGUCAGCUUGAGGCCAUCCAGAAUGUAGUUGCAGGGGAGUCGACGGUGCUUGUGCUGCCCACCGGCGCGGGCAAGUCACUGUGCUAUCAGUUGCCCGCUAUGAUUUUGCCUGGAUUGACGCUGGUGGUGAGCCCAUUGCUGUCCUUGAUGGUUGAUCAAUUGAGGAAGCUCCCUGCAUUUCUCCCAGGAGGCCUUCUUGCGAGUAGUCAGACGAGUGAUGAGUUUCAUGGAACAUUACGGCUGUUGCGUGCAGGGGAAAUAAAGGUUCUUUUUGUUUCCCCUGAGAGAUUCUUGAAUGAAGAAUUUCUGCAGAUACUCGGGGACACACUCCCAAUAUCUCUUGUGGUCAUUGAUGAAGCCCAUUGCAUUUCUGAAUGGUCUCAUAAUUUUAGACCUUCAUAUCUAAGGCUUCGAGCAUCACUACUUCGGAGAAAGCUUAAUAUUCAAUGUAUUCUUGCAAUGACUGCAACUGCAACAACUCAAACCUUGCAGGAGAUAGUUAAUGCCUUAGAAAUUCCAUCUGGUAAUCUUAUCCAGACAUCUCAAAUUAGGGAAAAUCUAAAGCUGUCUAUCAGCAUGAGUGAUAACAGGCUGAAGGAUUUAAUGUUGCUAUUAAAGUCUCCCCCUUUUGUCAAUAUGAGAAGUAUUAUCGUCUAUUGCAAAUUUCAGACAGAAACGGAUUAUGUUUGUAAGCACUUGUGUGAUAACAACAUUAAUGCCAAGAGCUACCAUAGUGGACUUUUGAUGAAAAAGAGGAGCCGGGUACAGGAGCUGUUCUGCUCUAACAAAAUAAGAGUGGUUGUUGCAACUGUGGCGUUUGGCAUGGGUCUUGAUAAGAGUGAUGUCGAAGGGGUGAUCCACUAUAGGUUGCCAGAAAGCCUUGAAGAGUACAUACAGGAAACUGGACGUGCUGGAAGGGAUGGACGGUUAUCACACUGUCACCUUCUUUUUGAUUCAACAACAUUCUAUAAGAUUCGCAGUCUUUCACACAGCGAUGGCAUUGAUGAAUAUGCAAUGAGCAAAUUUCUUAACCAGAUAUUCUCCUCCGGCAACACGAUGGGGUGCAUCUGUUCCUUCCCUAAAGAGUCUACUUCACGCAAGUUUGAUAUAAAAGAAGAGGUGCUUUUAACAGUCCUCACACAGCUGGAAAUUGGCGAGGAGCAAUAUCUCCAUUUACUUCCUCAGUUCAGUGUUACCUGCACACUGUAUUUUCACAAGACAUCACCGCAACUGCUUGCUGACAAGGAUAUACUACUUAGAUCAAUUCUAAAUAAGUCUGAAAUGAAGGAUGGCAGUUAUGUCUUCGAAGUACCAAGAGUAGCUAAUGAUAUGAGGAUCACAAUGAAUGAAGUGUUUGAUCGUUUGCAAAAGCUAAAGUUUUCAGGAGAACUAUCUUAUGAAUUGAAAGACCCAGCCUACUGUUAUAUGAUCUUAAAAAGGCCAGAUGACUUGAACGCUCUUUCAGCAAAUCUCACAAAAUGGCUUUCUGAAGUAGAAAACUCAAAGAUCAGGAAACUAGACGCUAUGUUUGCUCUCGCGUACUAUGCUGUCAAAGGUUGUAAAAAGACAGAUGGCUGUUCUGGUUCUGAGCACACCCCAUGCAUCCAGAAGAGGAUUAUAGACUACUUCAGCAAGAAGGAAGGCACACCAGACGAUGAUUACUGUACUCCCCUCCGCAAGAGCAGAACAUUUGAUUUUGCUUCCUGCAGCACGUUCUUGCAGUCUGAUAUAAAGGUAUUCCUCCAGAGCAAUUCGUUUGCCAAAUUCACCCCGAGGGCCGUCGCGAGGAUUAUGCACGGCAUCUCCAGCCCGGCUUUUCCAGCUGCUACCUGGGCCAAAAACCACUUCUGGGGACGCUAUAUGGAGGUUGAUUUUCCAGUGGUCAUAGAAGCCGCCAAAGCAGAGCUAGUUAAAUUCGUUGGAAAGGGUGAAUAA
rnacentral:rRNA from 1 species